UACGAAGGGUGCAAGCGUUACUCGGAAUUACUGGGCGUAAAGCGUGCGUAGGUGGUUUGUUAAGUCUGUUGUGAAAGCCCCGGGCUCAACCUGGGAAUGGCAAUGGAUACUGGCAGGCUAGAGUGCGGUAGAGGGUAGUGGAAUUCCCGGUGUAGCGGUGAAAUGCGUAGAGAUCGGGAGGAACACCAGUGGCGAAGGCGGCUACCUGGACCAGCACUGACACUGAGGCACGAAAGCGUGGGGAGCGAUCCGG
rnacentral:rRNA from 1 species